rnacentral:rRNA from 1 species
CCUACGGGGGGCAGCAGCGGGGAAUAUUGGACAAUGGGGGCAACCCUGAUCCAGCCAUGCCGCGUGUGUGAAGAAGGCCCUCGGGUUGUAAAGCACUUUCAGUGAGGAAGAACGCCUGGUGGUUAAUACCCAUCAGGAAAGACAUCACUCACAGAAGAAGCACCGGCUAACUCCGUGCCAGCAGCCGCGGUAAUACGGAGGGUGCGAGCGUUAAUCGGAAUUACUGGGCGUAAAGCGCGCGUAGGUGGCUUGAUAAGCCGGUUGUGAAAGCCCCGGGCUCAACCUGGGAACGGCAUCCGGAACUGUCAAGCUAGAGGGCAGGAGAGGAAGGUAGAAUUCCCGGUGUAGCGGUGAAAUGCGUAGAGAUCGGGAGGAAUACCAGUGGCGAAGGCGGCCUUCUGGACUGACACUGACACUGAGGUGCGAAAGCGUGGGUAGCAAACAGGAUUAGAUACCCGUGUAGUC